rnacentral:piRNA from 2 species
UCUGAGCAAUAUGCCUUCAGUGGCCAACU